GGAACGGCGGCGCGCGGGCGGUUGGGCCAGCUCAGGCUUUCUGUGGACAAGGCUGUGCUUGGCGUCUUCGGAUGCUGCGGGUUGAAGGUAGUCAUGGCCGGGACCCCCGCACCGAACAGCCACAGGAAACAGAGUGGCGGCCUGGAGCCUUUCCCCGGUCUGUCUCGAUCCAUUGAGAACCCUCCGAGCAAGCGGGCCCGGAGCUUCUCUGAGACCACAGUCCCGGACCCCGAAGACCCAUUCGGUGAGCACGCGGAAUUUACUGCGGACGACCUAGAGGAACUCGACAUCCUCGCGUCACAGGCCCUGAGCCAGUGUCCCGUCGCGCCUCGGAACCUGUCCAGUGAGUGCCUGAGGGGCCUUUUCCCCCGGCGGGUGGUGCAGACCUCUGAUUUGGCGGUGAGACAUCCAGAAUGUUAAAUGGCCUCCCAUUUAGAUGGUGCUCAUAAGGUCCGCCGAUUAGAUGGGUUACCAAAUAGUCCUAUAAGGAAAAGCAGAGAAGAUAUUCCAGUUAAAGAUAAUUUUGAAUUAGAAGUACUUCAGAUACAAUACAAAGAACUUAAAGAAAAGCUGAAAGCAAUGGAAGAAGAAAUCCUAAUUAAGAAUGGAGAAAUUAAAAUUUUGCGUGACUCUCUGCGUCAGACAGAAUCCGUUCUAGAAGAACAGAAAAGAUCACAUUUCCUUCUUGAGCAAGAAAAGACUCAAGCACUCAGUGAAAAGGAAAAGGAAUUCUCCAGAAAGCUCCAAUCACUGCAGUCUGAACUGCAGUUUAAAGACGCAGAAAUGAAUGAGUUAAGGACAAAGUCUCAGAGCAACGGACGAACAAAUAAGCCAGCCGCUCCCUCCGUCUCCCACGUCAGUCCUAGGAAAGGCUCUUCUGUGGUUCUCAAGUCAGAAGCAUGUUCUCCACAUGUUGGAAAAACAACUUUCCCUACAAAAGAAUCUUUUAGUGCUAACACGCCUCUCUUCCACCCCUGUCAGACUGAGGCAGGACACAGAUUUCUGGUGGGCCAAGAGGUUUCAGAUAAUAAAAACCACAGUCUGGGAGGUAGCCUCAUGAAGCAAGAUGUGCAGCAGAGAAUUCUGGCUGAUGGCUGGAUGCAGAGAAAAGAUGCUCAAGGUUCUAUUUUGAUAAACUUGCUCCUGAAGCAACCUUUGGUGCCAGGGUCAUCUCUAGGUCUUUGUCACCUUCUGAGCAGUUGUCCUGAGGUUCCUACUGGCACCCUCUUGCAGCCACCAGGGCUCAGUACUUUGCCUGGGACUUCAGGCCUCAGGACCAUCAGUUCUUCUGAUGGGCCAUUUUCCCCCUCUGCCCUGAGAGAAGCACAGAACUUGGCAUUCACUGGAUUAAAUCUGGUUGCCAGGACUGAGAGCUCACAUGAUGGAGACAUGGCAGGCAGAAGAGUCUUCCCGCUCCACCAGCUUCCUGGAGCUGUGCAUCUCCUUCCUCUUGUGCAGUUUUUCGUCGGCUUACACUGCCAGGCUCUGCAAGAUUUAGCCCCAGCUAAGAAGAGUGGGGUGCCUGGGGACUCUGCGACACAUACCUCCUGCAUGAGCUCUGGGGUCGAGGCUAGCCCAGAGGACUCCAUUCAUGGCUUGGAGAGCUUUUCUGUGGCAUCACUCAGCGUCCUUCAGAACCUGGUGUGCCACAGUGGGGCAGUUGUCUGCCUGUUACUGUCAGGCAUGGGGACAGAAGCUGCCGCCAGGGAAGGAAACUUGGUCCAGACUUGUGCAGAUACAACCUCAGCCUCCAGGGAGGAUGCUCAUGACCAAGACCAGCACCCACUGCUAAAGAUGCUUCUUCAGCUGAUGGCUUCCUCCUCUGCAGCAUCAGGUCAUUUUCAAGCCAGUGUCCUGGGCCUGUGCCUCAAAGUUUUGGUGAAAUUAGCAGAAAACGCUUCCUCUGAUUUGUUGCCCAGGUUCUCCUGUGUGUUCCCGGUGUUGCCACAGUGCCUCGGCUCAGCGCUGCCGCUGCCCUGUGUGCUCCUGGCUGUUGAGCUGCUCUCUGUGCUGCUGGACCAUGACAGCCUAGCAUGGCAGCUAUGCUCCCACCCAGAAGGCUGCCUUCUCCUGAGGCUGUACAUGUACAUCACAUCAAGGCCUGACAGAACGGCCUCAGAGACACAGUGGCUUCAGCUGGAACAAGAGGUAGUAUGGCUCUUGGCCAAGCUGAGUGUACAGAGCCCUGCCCCCGCUGGCAUUGGUUCUGACUGUCACUGCAAUGUAGAGGCAGUCAGAGCGCUCACUGUGAUGUUGCACAGGCAAUGGCUGACGGUGCGGCGGGCAGGAGGUCCAAGGACCCACCAGCAGAAGCAGACGAUACGCUGUCUGCGGGACACUGUGCUGCUGCUGCAUAGCCUAUCUCAGAAGGACAAGCUCUUCACUGUGCACUGUGUCGAGGUCCUGCAUCAGUACGACCAGGUGAUGCCAGGGGUCAGCAUGCUGAUUCGAGCCCUUCCUGAUGUGACUGACUGUGAAGAGGCUGCCCUGGAUGACCUCUGUGCUGCGGAGACUGAUUUGGAAGACUCUGAGAUGGACUGUAACUGAGGGCCUGAGCAUCCAGCCACAAGGUGGCGCCAGCUCCCACCGCCGUCUUUGCCAUAUCCACUGAUUAAAACUGCACUUCCUGCUGAGAACACAAGCUUUGUUUCCUGAGUCCGAUUUGUGUGGCUGAGAGGGAGGGACAGGGCAGACCAAGAAUUGAUGAGAUGACUCCUGCUGGAGUUGAGAUGGCCCCCAUGGUAACUGAUCUGCCCUGAGGAAAAACCCUGCCCCUCUUCGGGAAUUACCCUGAGUCAUAGCUUUGGGCGGGGGCCGUGGUGGGGGCAGGGGUACGUUUGUGGCCAAGGAGGCAGCCCUUUUUAGGAAGGCCUGGAUCAAGGACUGGGGGAAAGACAAGAAAAGGCAGAGGCUCACGGGCACAUUUGAAUCCUAGAGACAACCCAGUUUGAGUUGUCAGUGUUGGGGCAGUAGUCCAUUUUACCAGCCAGCAGGAUCACAGAUAUGGAUCUAGGAAGGCCUUUGGGGUGCUUGGGGAGGGAGGGAGGAGCGUCAGCACGAGGGCCAGGCCUGGCAGGCUAACAGCAGGGCGGGCCCUGUUCAGGAGGCAGGCCUAUGGGUGGACCCAGGCAGUUUUACUUCCUCAGCCACACUGCUGCCAGCAGCAGACCCAGCGGAGUGCCUUGCUGCCUGCUUCUCGGUUCAGCAUGGGCUCACAGACCCUGCCCCAUGGUCACAUGCAGACCCUCAUCUUCUUAGACCUGGAAGCCACUGGCCUGCCUUCGUCUCGGCCCGAAGUCACAGAGCUGUGCCUGCUGGCUGUCCACAGACGUGCUCUGGAGAACACUUCCAUUUCUCAGGGACAUCCACCUCCAGUGCCCAGACCGCCCCGUGUGGUGGACAAGCUCUCUCUGUGCAUUGCUCCAGGGAAAGCCUGUAGCCCUGGGGCCAGUGAGAUCACAGGUCUGAGCAAAGCUGAGCUGGAAGUACAGGGGCGUCAACGCUUCGAUGACAACCUGGCCAUCCUGCUCCGAGCCUUCCUGCAGCGCCAGCCACAGCCUUGCUGCCUUGUGGCACACAACGGUGACCGCUAUGACUUUCCUCUGCUCCAGACAGAGCUUGCUAGGCUGAGCACUCCCAGUCCCCUAGAUGGUACCUUCUGUGUGGACAGCAUCGCUGCCCUAAAGGCCUUGGAACAAGCUAGCAGCCCCUCAGGGAAUGGUUCGAGGAAAAGCUACAGCCUGGGCAGCAUCUACACCCGCCUGUACUGGCAAGCACCGACAGACUCACAUACUGCUGAAGGUGAUGUUCUAACCCUGCUCAGCAUCUGUCAGUGGAAGCCACAGGCCCUACUGCAGUGGGUGGACGAACAUGCCCGGCCCUUUAGCACCGUCAAGCCCAUGUACGGCACUCCGGCUACCACUGGAACAACCAACCUAAGGCCACAUGCUGCCACAGCUACUACACCCCUGGCCACAGCCAAUGGAAGUCCCAGCAAUGGCAGGAGCAGGCGACCUAAGAGUCCUCCUCCAGAGAAGGUCCCAGAAGCCCCAUCACAGGAGGGGCUGCUGGCCCCACUGAGCCUGCUGACCCUCCUGACCUUGGCAAUAGCCACUCUGUAUGGACUCUUCCUGGCCUCACCUGGGCAGUAAGUCAAGAGGGGAAAUAUGAUGAAUAAAGACUUCCAUAGCACUGAAAAAAAAAAAAAAAAAAAA
rnacentral:lncRNA from 1 species